GUGGGUGUGAUUUGAAAAGAACCAACACAAAGGUAUAAACCCAGCUCCACCCUUCGGCUUUAGAAAACAGUGAAACCAGCUCUAAGAACGCUACCCCCUAAGAGCAAGGUCCGCACGGGUCGACCGGCUUCCAACAAGACAGCAACUUCACCCACUACCGCGGUUGGGCAAAUGGUCGCAAUAACCGCGGGGAAGGGCUCGCCCGGACGCCAAAAGUCAAGCCGGCCAGAGACGGUUCAGGCUACCUCACGGGGUUGGGGGGUCCAAAAGAAGCUUCUACCCACGGGCCUCGGCGUGCGGCGCUUCGGAGGAACAAAAGCGCACUCCCGGACUCCCUCCCCGCACAGCCAGCGGAGGGACAGCGGCACCCGCCCCACGGCGCGGGCGGGCGGGCCCCGGACAGCUUCCACCCGCGCUGAGUCGCCAGCGGCAGCCCGGGCUCGAGGGGUUGUGGGAGCAGAGUCGAUCCCUCCGGCGACGGGGAGGCGCCAGCUCUGGCCGGAGCCUUAGGGCCGGUUUCACCGUCCCCUCCCCCCGGACGCCGGGGAACGUGGGGGGCAGGGAGGCCCCCCGAGUCCCCGGGCUCCGCAAAACCCCCUUUUUCGGUCCCGGCCAUCAAGUCAACAUCAGGCGAAAUCAAGCGGGCGAGGGAGGGGAGGGUCGACGGGUGGGGGGAGGAACCGACCUGUCGAUGAGGAUCUUGGGGUCCCCCAUCCAGGGGAUGAGGUGCUGUCCCUGUUCCUGGGCCAAAGCCCGCUCGUCGUCGCGGAACAACUUGCAGGCAUAGCCGAAAACCAGAAGCUCCACCCGGUUGCCCCCAGUGCCGGUGCCGCCCGGCCCGGCCUCCUCCUUCACUCCGCCUUUCCUCUCCGGCUUGGCACGGCCCCCGCCGGCACCGUACAUGACAGCGUCCCCGACGUCCGGGACGGUCUGCUGCUGGGCCGAACAACGUCCCCGAUGCCUCGCCUGGCCUACCCACUCAGUCACAGGCGCCGCAUCCUCUUCGCAACUUCAACACAGCCGCCAUAGCGAGCCACAAAAUGGAGGAGACGCAACUUCCGGUAGGAAACCCGCUCUUUCCGGAGGUGAGAGUGGUAGAUUCGCCACGUCCGCAAGCUGUUUGAGCCGCUAAAAAAUUAAGUAGAUGUUAGUUUUCGUUGUCCAACUUGAUCUUGCGAUGUUCUGAACAUGGACCCAGGGCCUCACCAUUGCUAGGCGACUCGAGUUAGAUCAAGUCCGACUGGAUGGAAGGAGAGAAGAACUUCUCAGCCACGGACACCCCCCUCCCUCCCCAAAUAACUUAGGUUUUUAAAAAGUGGAUAGUGAUUUAGAAAAACAACUGAUGUUGACCUCUGGCCUCCAUAUGCAUUUGUGUACACACGUGCACACACACAUACAGACAUGUACAUAGUACACCAGAACGAAUACUAAGUAAAAUAGUUAUGAUGUGGAGAAGGUUGCUUUGCAGAAAUGUUUGUGUCUACUUUUGAAACAGUUGGGAAAAAAAAAAAAGAAACGGUUGGAAUUUUUGUCUUAACCUCAAGCCAAAAUUCAUUUAAUGAUUUUUUUUUAAUGUAAAGUAACUCAGCGCACACACACACACACCAGCAGAGAUGUCUCAGUUGAUAAGUGCUUGCCUUACGCACAUGAGCACCUGAGUUUGAUUGCCAGAACCCAUGCAAAAAGUACUGGGUGUGAUGGCGAUUGCUUAUAAUCCUUGUGCUCUAGAAGUAGAGACAGGUUGAGGUGUUGGGUUCCAUGGCCAUCUAACCUGCUUUACUUGGUGAGUUCUAGGCCAGUGAAAGGCCCUAUAUUACACUAGAUGUACUUGAGAUGGCACUUGAGAAAUGACAUCCAGUGUUGUUCUCUGACCCCCAUACAGGCUAUUUGAAUUUCAUCUAAGUCUUCCCUAAGAACCCAAUGCCCUUUUACACUAUAAGUCAGUGACUUAUGAUCCCCUAGGUAAAGACCUGCAGGCUGCCUUUUGGGACCACAUACAUCUGUGAUAUAGCUGGUGCAUACACUGUUACUUCUUGCCCCAGGCGGCUUGCUCUCUGGUCCUUUUUUUAAAUUUUUUUCGAGACAGGGUUUCUCUGUGUAGCCCUGGCUGUCCUUGAGUUUAUUCUGUAGACCAGGCUGGCCUCGAACUCAGAAAUCCGCCUGCCUCUGCCUCCCAAGUGCUAGGAUCAAAGGCGUGCGCCACUACUGCCUGGCUUGCUCUCUGGCUGACUGGCUCACAAUGCGAUCUAGGCUUGUGUUGUCCUGUGGGCUUUAUUUGUGGAAAAUAAAUUUGCUUUCUUGUA